GGGUUGUUUAGGAGGUUAAGGGAAUAGACUCGGGAAGCUUUGUUGAGGGUGGAUUGCCAUAAGUAACGACUGGCGAGUUCUUCAAGUGAGGCAAGCUUGUAGGCUAGCUUAUUGAGAGAUCCAAAUUAGUUCGUUAAAGCGAUGAUGGAUGAUAAGGGUUUGUAAUUGUUAGGUGAGAAUAUGCGAAGCAAGUUUUAUUUUGGUUUUAGCUUUCACCUUUUAUUUUUUCAUAAACAUAAAAAAGUUUUAACAAAUGGAAAACAUAAAAAAGCUACGUUAAAAGAGAUGGAGA
rnacentral:lncRNA from 1 species